rnacentral:misc_RNA from 1 species
UCUUGAUGUAAAAUAUAGCUAAUUGGAAGCGUACUCUUAUAUAAGAGGUGCAAUUUUGGUUUUCUAUUUCUCAGUUUGAAAUAUUUUUAGUUUUUUUAAUGCUUAGUGUACUGUCUUUGCUUCACAAAUUAUGUGGUAAAGUAUUAUCGUCUUAGAGAACCAAAUCCAAUUUUUUUGCAUAUGAAGAUCUAGUUUGAAUGUUGAUUGGGUUCAUUAGCGUAUCACUCAGUAUUGUAGAUCAUGCGG